GUGACGCUGCAGGACCAGUGACAAUGGCACCACGGUGACACCACGGUGACGGUGAUGCUGUGGUUAUGGUGACGCUGCAGGACUGGUGACGGUGACACCACGGCGACGGUGACACCAUGGUCACGGUGACACUUUUUAGUACUGAUGACAACGAUACCACGGUGACGGUGACACCACGGCCAUGGUGACGCUGUGGCUACGGUGAUAAUGGCACCACGGUGACGGUGACACCACAGUGACGGUGACGCUGUGGUGACGGAGACGCCACGGCCAUGGUCACACUUUAGUACCGGUGACAAUGACACCACGGUGACAGUGACACCACGGUCAUGGUGACACGGUGGUGACGGUGACACGGUGGUGACGGUGACAGCGGUGACGGUGACAUUGCCAUGGGCACGACAAUGAUGCGGCGCUGCCGGUGCCACGGUGACGCUGAUCUUGACGUGGCUGUGCCGGUGCCAUGGUGGUGAUGGUGACGGUGACGCGGCGCUCGUGUUCACGCAGUGAUGGUGACGCGGUGGUGCUGGUGCCGUGGUGGUGACGGUGACACAGCGGUGAUGCCGGUUCUGGUGUCAGUGUCACGGUGGUGCCAGUGGUGCCGGUUCCGGUUCUGGUUCCGGUUCCAGUUCCAGCUCUGGUUCCAGUUCCAGUUCCAGCUCUGGUUCCGGUUCCAGCUCUGGUUCCGGUUCCAGUUCCGGUUCCAGUUCCAGCUCUGGUUCCGGUUCCGGUUCCGGUUGCGGUUGUGCUCAGGCGUGCAGGCAGCGGUUGAAGGCGUUGUAGGCCGACUCGAGGUCGAAGAGCAGCUGCCGCACCUGGGCAUCGUCCAGCUCGUCCGACGCCGACAUGGCGCUCAGCGUCUGCAGCCUCCGCCCCGCAAACAACGCCGCCGCUCAGCACCGCGACCCACGGCCGCGACCCACGGCGACCCACAGCCGCGACCCACAACCGGGACCCGCAACCGGGACCCGCAACCGGGACCCGCAACCGGGACCCGCAACCGGGACCCGCAACCGGGACCCGCAACCGGGACCCGCAGCUCGUCCGACGCCGACACGGCGCUCAGCGUCUGCAGCUUCCAGCCCCGCAAACCCCACAAAGGCGCCCCUGACCCCAUAGGGACCCCGUAAAGACUCCCCUCGACUCCAUAAAGACCCCAUAAAGAGCCCCCUGACCCCCUAGGGAACCCCCGACCCCAUAAGGACCUCAUAAAGAAUCCCACAACCCCAUAAACACCCCCCCGACCACAGAAGGACCCCAUAAAGACCGCCCUGACCCCAUAGGGACCUCACAAAGACACCCUUGACCCCAUAAGGACCCCAUACAGAUCCCAUAAAGACCCCCCGACCCCAUAAGAACCCCAUAGGAACCCCCCACAACCCCAUAAACCUCAUAAAGACCCCAUAGGGACCCCAUAAACCCCAUAAGGACCCCAUAGGGACCCCCCCAAUCCCAGAAGAAUCCCAUAAAGACCUCAUAAAGACCCCAUAAGGACCCCACAGGGAC
rnacentral:lncRNA from 1 species